UUUGUCAAAUCAUCAAAACUAUAAGAAGUCAUAACUCAUCAAGUGGUGCAAAUCAUAAGAGGUUAUUCAUCAAGGCUGAUGAUAAUCUCAGAUCAAUCUCUUUGGAGAAACCUCCUAACCUGUCUGAAGUUUAUGUUUCUCUGGAGAAAUCUCCGAUUUGGUUAUGUUUGUUGGCAGCUUUCCUGAAGUCAAAAUACUCGGUCUUAUUGGCAAAUUUCUGCAGCUCCUAUGUGAAACUCCAGUUACACCAAUGCUAUAGACAUCACCAGACUCUCUAAAGAUUCUCAAACUCAAAGGUGUGAACUUUAUGGACUUCAAACAAUUAUCUGUUAUAGUCUACUUGAUUAGAAGUGCUCAGAAUUUGCAAGAACUUCAUAUUGAGGCUUCUACAGUCAAGAUAAACCGGGAACAUAUCUCAGGUUUUCUAAAACUCCUGAACUGCAAAAAGUUUCCCCUUAUCAAACUUCAUCUCGUAAAAUUAACGAAAAUCUUAGGUUUCGAUGCCCAGUUUGAAUUUAUUGUCAUCACUUGUGACAAUGAGCAUCCUGGAACACCCAGAGCUUGAAGCAGAAGUAGUAUUGGAUAUAGGUAGGAAGUUGCUCGAGUUUCAGCCACCAUCAACAGUGUCUAUAGAUUUCUCAAGGGACAGUGAAGCCCAAGUAUCAUAGUGUUAGAUUCAGGGAACAGGCAGUGUCCUUAUAGAGUUAUAACUCUUAAGUAUUCUUACUACAUGACUUGUACUGGUUUUGGUUAUUGUUCCGAUUCUUCUGGUUUGCUAAAACUUAAGAUUUCAAGCGAAAUUGGAUUAGUUCUUUAUUUAUAUGCUUAAUUAUGUUGAGAAGAAAAGAAUU